UGAAAAGCCGCAAUUGGUCACAUAGGAGCCAUGGAGCAAGGUGGUUCUAGCAGUAGUGCCACUAACAAAGGCAAUGAUAGGGAUAAGCAUGAAAUCGAUAUUGACAUCUCACCUCUUAGCAUGGAGACGCUAUUAAAGAUAAGGAAAAAUAGAUCACGUAAAAGAUCCAGCCCAUCGAGGUCGUUCUUUGACAAUACUUCACCUGACUAUGGGUGGUUAUUGCCUGGGUGGCUGGUAGAGGUGCGCCGUGUGCAAUCUGGUCGAUUCUACAAGUACUACUAUGAUCCAUCGGGACGGCCAUACAGGACCCGUCAGGAAGUCCUUGCUGUAUGGAAGCAGUUCGGGCUCAUAGUUAUAGAUGAUUGAUCAAGUUCUCAAUGAAACUACAUGGACAAACGUGGUGCUUAAUGAGGAAGAGAUAUUUGGAUUUCGACUGUGUAGAACCAAGUGACUGUUUGUUGCCGCUCUAGUAUGUCCUCUAGUUUGGAUUGUUCAUGUUUUGUCAACUUGUCAGGAUGUUCAUCAAACACUUUUGUGGUUGUGGUUGCUAUAAUCCACUCCAAUCGACUUUAUAAGUAGUAAAUGUUAUCUAAUGGGCAUAUCAAUUUGUUAUGAA